AUUCUCUGUACAUAGUCCUCCUACAUGCAUGUACAGAGGGCAGCACCACCUAUUCUCUGUACAUAGUCCUCCUACAUGCAUGUACAGAGGGCAGCACCACCUAUUCUCUGUACAUAGUCCUCCUACAUGCAUGUACAGAGGGCAGCUUCAGAACGUGUUGCUGUUAUGGUUUGUAUGUGCUUGGCCCAGGGAGUGGCACUAUUAGCUGUGGCCCUGUUGGAGUAGGUGUGGCCCUGUUGGAAUAGGUGUGCCACUGUGAGUGUGGGCUAUAAGACCCUCAUCCUAGCUGCCUGGAAGCAAGUAUUCUGCUAACAGCCUUCAGAUGAAGAUGUAGAACUCUCAGCUCCUUCUGCACCAUGCCUACCUGGAUGCUGCCAUGUUCCCGAAUUGAUGAUAAUGGACCGAACCUCUGAACCUGCACAGGCAUCAGUGUCACUAGCUUGCUGCAAGCCUACAGACAGGACUGCACAGAAAGGGCAGAGCCAAGAGGAUCACGAGGCAGAGCCAGCACCCCAGCUCGCCUAUCUAGAGACACACUGCUCCUUCUGGUCCUGUCUCAGUGUUGAGCAAUGAACAGGCUGGUCAGCGUAGAACUCUUGGCUUCUUCAGCACCGCGUCUGCCUGCACACUGCCAUGCUUCCUGCCAUGAUGAUAAUGGACUAGGCCUCUGAAACUGUGAGCCAGCCCCAGUUAAAUGUUCUCCUUUAUAAGCUGCCAUGGUCAUGGUGUCUCUUCACAGCAAUGGAAACCCUAACCAAGUCAGUGGUGCAUGAUUAUAAUCUCAGGACUCAAGAUGUAAAGGCUGGAGGAUUAAAAUUUCAACUAGACAC